AAAAAAUAUCAACUUUUCCAUUUUUAUCCAUCCCAUAAGAAAUUAUCGUUUUCCCUUUGGGACAUGAAUCCACACAUUAUCUACCACACACAUCAUCAUUUUCUUAAAAAAGUAGUGGAUCCAUUUUCUCCACUCAACAUAUUACUAACCAAACAUUUCUUAAAACUCGUGUUAUCUCACAACCACAAGUGAUACUCUUUUACGGGACGGAGAGAAUAUUUUUUAGAUCCCUAUAUCUUGAAUUAGAUAGAGAAAGGAUCAUUGAUGUGUGUAUUUUAGUUGUUCAUAUUCUUGAAUUAUUUUGUACGAAUUUAAUAUACAAAAUUAAAUGAAUUUUUGUGCAGGAAUUGAAGAAUUUGAUGGCGAUGAGGUCGAAUGAAAGAAGGAUGAAAAAUAUGGGAUUUUAAUAUCAAUUUGUGAAGAUCCAAAAGACGCACGAAUUAUUUGGUGGUAUACGACGUCCACCAAUCAUUUUGUAAGGGCCGUGUCUUUUUUUUCAUGAUUUGAUGCUUCUUCGAAAGACAGGAUCCAUGCAAAUGAUGAUGUUGAUUGCUUUCAACAAAAUUCUAUAUGAGUUCAACUUCACAAUAUAUCAAUUGCGUGCAUGGAAUCCCAAAUUAUCAGAUGUAUUGGAGAGCGAAUUAGAGAGGUGUUAGAGGUGGAUAAUGGAGCGAACGGUAUGUGUCUUGGAGGAUAUGAACGGGUAUGGGCUAUUAGAUAUAUUGGUGAACUGCCCAUUCAAUGUGUUCCAGUUAUAGUUCUAUGAGAGAUGAGAAAGGUGUUGUUUUUUGGUGCUCUACAAGAAUUUAUCAGAUUUGUUUUUGCCUGAACACCACAUGAAAAUUUUUGAUGUUGAUGUAGAAGCAAAGACAAACCUACAAUUCAGGGUGUGGCUUCGUACAAAUAGGGGCAUUGAUUAUCGGCGAACAAGUCACUAUCCACGGCCGAAUACUAACUCAUACGGAUGUAGGCCCCUAUCCAAAGCUAAUCAUAGGGGUCUCGUCUUCUCCCGAGACCAGAAGUUGGUCGUGAAAGUGAGAUAUAACAGCAAGGUGAAAAGGCAAACAUUGAUGGAUGUGUGGAAAAUGAGGCUGAACAUGUUGGGAAUAAGCUUAUUAUAAUAUUAUUGAGUUUACACAAGACAUGAGGAUCGUCAAGAUGUGGAGUUGGAGGGGAACAUGCUGACUAUUGGUGGGGAAUAGCAAUGAAGGUGAUAAUAGUGCUUCGGGAGAAAGAAUGAGGAUAGAACUGCGCCAUGAGAGUAACAUUAAUACAAUAAUGACUGAUAUUGUAUCCCCACAAAAAGUAAAAGGAGACACAAAUGAUGUAAAAGAAAGGCGAUGGAGAACGGGACUACAACCACGAACUCAUUUGCUAUAAAAAUGGAUGACUGCAUCAGUGUAGAAAAGUCAUUCUUGGAUGACAACCUCGAGGCCCCAAGCACAAAAUGGCUAAACUUCAUGGCAGUGAUGAGUAAACCAAGUACACAAUGGUGGCUGCUGCAGAGCAGUGCUGACGAGAAUUGUGAGUGUUAUAGUAUGCAAUUCGCAGGGGUUGGGAAGUUUCCACGUAUUCCAGGAACUCUGACGUCUCAUCGCAGAUACUUUCCUAAUUCUAGUUGUUCUCUAUGAAACUAAACUAGUUGCUCGUAUAUGUAAUUUUUUGGAGGACAAUGUUGGGAUAUUCGGGUAUUUUGUCGUGGAUGUAUUAUAUAAUAGAAUGAGAUCUCAUCAUUAUUCAGAAUU